rnacentral:rRNA from 1 species
AAUGGGACUGAGACACGGCCCAUACUCCUACGGGAGGCAGCAGUAGGGAAUCUUCCACAAUGGACGAAAGUCUGAUGGAGCAACGCCGCGUGUGUGAUGAAGGGUUUCGGCUCGUAAAACACUGUUGUAAGAGAAGAAUGACAUUGAGAGUAACUGUUCAGUGUGUGACGGUAUCUUACCAGAAAGGAACGGCUAAAUACGUGCCAGCAGCCGCGGUAAUACGUAUGUUCCAAGCGUUAUCCGGAUUUAUUGGGCGUAAAGCGAGCGCAGACGGUUAUUUAAGUCCGAAGUGAAAGCCCACAGCUUAACUGUGGAAGUGCUUUGGAAACUGGAUAACUUGAGUGCAGUAGAGGAGAGUGGAACUCCAUGUGUAGCGGUGAAAUGCGUAGAUAUAUGGAAGAACACCAGUGGCGAAGGCGGCUCUCUGGACUGUAACUGACGUUGAGGCUCGAAAGUGUGGGUAGCAAACAGGAUUAGAUACCCUGGUAGUCCACACCGUAAACGAUGAGUGCUAGAUGUUUGAGGGUUUCCGCCCUUAAGUGUCGCAGCUAACGCAUUAAGCACUCCGCCUGGGGAGUACGACCGCAAGGUUGAAACUCAAAGGAAUUGACGGGGACCCGCACAAGCGGUGGAGCAUGUGGUUUAAUUCGAAGCAACGCGAAGAACCUUACCAGGUCUUGACAUCCUUUGACCACUUCAGAGAUGAAGCUUUCCCUUCGGGGACAAAGUGACAGGUGGUGCAUGGUUGUCGUCAGCUCGUGUCGUGAGAUGUUGGGUUAAGUCCCGCAACGAGCGCAACCCUUAUUACUAGUUGCCAGCAUUCAGUUGGGCACUCUAGUGAGACUGCCGGUGACAAACCGGAGGAAGGUGGGGAUGACGUCAAAUCAUCAUGCCCCUUAUGACCUGGGCUACACACGUGCUACAAUGGCAAGUACAACGAGCAGCUAACCCGCGAGGGUACGCGAAUCUCUUAAAACUUGUCUCAGUUCGGAUUGUAGGCUGCAACUCGCCUACAUGAAGUCGGAAUCGCUAGUAAUCGCGGAUCAGCACGCCGCGGUGAAUACGUUCCCGGGUCUUGUACACACCGCCCGUCACACCAUGAGAGUUUGUAACACCCAAAGCCGGUGAGGUAACCUUUUAGGAGCCAACCGUCUAAG